UCCGUAGCUUAGUUCGUUGAGCAUAGUGUCUUUUAAACAUGUGACCCGGGUUCGAUACCUGGGUUAUCAU